rnacentral:lncRNA from 1 species
CAGAGUGACAAGAGCAUUUGGAGAUGAAGUGAUUUCAUUCUUGUCGUCCAGCUGCAGGAACUUGAAGUCAUGCUGCAACCAUAUGUGGAGGAUGCUCCUUCACGAAUCUGGAGGCAAAAGAAUCCAAACUAACAGGUGGACAUUUGUUCCCAUGCUUCACUACGUGGCUGUGACAAUCAGCAGAGCUUGGCAAUGGCAGGAGCUCUACUGGAGUUCUUCAACUGUACAUAUGAAAUGUGAAACAGAUCAGAGUGAGGUUAAUUUUCUCAGUUACAACCAGUUCAAGCCUGUAACUCCUCAGAUGCAAUUGGAUGUGCUUGUCACUGGUUCUUAACAUUACUGGCCUUCUGGGAAAGGCUAUUCCAAAUUCCUUCUCAAGAUAUCAGAAAGCGUUCAAGCAUUUGUGCCAAGGAGUGCCACUGCUGCAAUCUGUUGUGGUGACAGCACAUUCAUCGAUAUUACCCUAGAGUGUAUAAAAAGCUCAGAAGUGUGUAAAAAAUAUAUAUAAAAAAU